rnacentral:rRNA from 1 species
UGGGGAAUAUUGCACAAUGGGCGCAAGCCUGAUGCAGCCAUGCCGCGUGUAUGAAGAAGGCCUUCGGGUUGUAAAGUACUUUCAGCGAGGAGGAAGGCGGUAAGGUUAAUAACCUUAUCGAUUGACGUUACUCGCAGAAGAAGCACCGGCUAACUCCGUGCCAGCAGCCGCGGGAAUACGGAGGGCGCAAGCGUUAAUCGGAAUUACUGGGCGUAAAGCGCACGCAGGCGGUCUGUCAAGUCGGAUGUGAAAUCCCCGGGCUCAACCUGGGAACUGCAUUCGAAACUGGCAGGCUAGAGUCUUGUAGAGGGGGGUAGAAUUCCAGGUGUAGCGGUGAAAUGCGUAGAGAUCUGGAGGAAUACCGGUGGCGAAGGCGGCCCCCUGGACAAAGACUGACGCUCAGGUGCGAAAGCGUGGGGAGCAAACA